UUAAAUUGAAGAGUUUGAUCAUGGCUCAGAUUGAACGCUGGCGGCAGGCCUAACACAUGCAAGUCGAACGGUAACAGGAAGCAGCUUGCUGCUUUGCUGACGAGUGGCGGACGGGUGAGUAAUGUCUGGGAAACUGCCUGGUGGAGGGGGAUAACUACUGGAAACGGUAGCUAAUACCGCAUAACGUCGCAAGACCAAAGAGGGG
rnacentral:rRNA from 1 species